rnacentral:rRNA from 1 species
GAAAGUAAACAAGGGCGCAUGGAGGAUGCCUAGGCUCUCGGAGGCGAAGAAGGACGUGAUAAGCUGCGAAAAGUUACGGUAAGGCGCAAAUAGCCGUAGACCCGUAAAUAUCCGAAUGGGGCAACCCGGCCAGCAAUGGCCAUACCGCCAAGCGGUAAGCCAACGCGGGGAACUGAAACAUCUAAGUACCCGCAGGAAAAGAAAAUAACAAUGAUUCCGCCAGUAGUGGCGAGCGAACGCGGAACAGCCCAAACCACCCGUGUUACGGCACGGGUGGGGUAGAAGGAUCCACGACACGGCAAGAAAUAAGUUAGCGGAAUACGAUGGAAAUCGUAGCCAGAGACGGUGACAGCCCGGUACGCGAAAACUGACAGAAGCCCAGUGGACACCUGAGUAACCCAGGACACGAGAAAUCCGGGGCGAAUCAGCGGGGCCCAUCCCGUAAGGCUAAAUACUCCCGAGAGACCGAUAGCGAACCAGUACUGUGAAGGAAAGGUGAAAAGCACCUCGAACAGAGGAGUGAAAUAGUCCCUGAAACCGUCUGCCUACAAGCGGUCGGAGCAACGUAAGUUGUGACGGCGUGCCUUUUGCAUAAUGAACCUACGAGUUACUUUCUCCGGCAAGGUUAAGGGCUUCAGGCCCGGAGCCGAAGCGAAAGCGAGUCUUAAUAGGGCGUGAUAGUCGGAGUGAGUAGACGCGAAACCAAGUGAUCUACCCUUGGUCAGGAUGAAGGUUGGGUAACACCAACUGGAGGUCCGAAUGGGUAUACGUUGAAAAGUGUUCCAAUGAACUGAGGGUAGGGGUGAAAGGCUAAUCAAACUUGGAGAUAGCUCGUACUCCCCGAAAUGCAUUUAGGUGCAGCCUUUAUUUAGUAUAGCAUGAGGUAGAGCGACUGAUUGGAUGCGAGGGCUUCACCGCCUAUCAAGUCCAGAUAAACUCCGAAUGCGUGCUAUAUAUUGAUAAGGAGUGAGGGCGCGGGUGCUAAGGUCCGCGUCCGAGAGGAGAAGAAUCCAGACCAUCAGCUAAGGUCCCCAAAUAACAGUUAAGUUGAACUAACGAAGUCGGACUGCAGAGACAGCUAGGAUGUUGGCUUGGAAGCAGCCAUUCAUUUAAAGAGUGCGUAACAGCUCACUAGUCGAGGAGUCCGGCGUGGAUAAUACUCGGGCAUAAACUGUUUACCGAAGCUAUGGAUGUAGAAAUACAUGGUAGGGGAGCAUUCCAACGGCGUUGAAGGUGAAGGAUGACCUUUGCUGGAGCUUUUGGAAACGCAAAUGUAGGUAUAAGUAACGAUAAAGGAGGUGAGAAACCUCCUCGCCGAAAGACUAAGGUUUCCUGAUCAACGUUAAUCGGAUCAGGGUAAGUCGGGACCUAAGGUUAAGCCGAACGGCGAUACCGAUGGAAGAAUGGUUUAAUAUUCCCAUACUACUUUAUGGAGCGAUGUGGAGACGGAGAAGUGAAAGUCCUGCCAUCUGACGGAAUAGGUGGUUGAAGAGUGUAGAUGUAGAUUCCUGUAGGCAAAUCCGCAGGGAGAGUCGACCUUGACAGUAUGCCGCGUGCUUGCACAAGGCAAAAUGGACGUAAUCAGGCUCCCAAGAAAAUCCGCUAAGCAUAUUCAUAAAGUACCCGUACCGUAAACGGACACACGUAGUUGGGUUGAAAAUACUGAGGCGCUCGAGUGAUUCACGGUUAAGGAACUAGGCAAAUUGACCCUGUAACUUCGGGAUAAAGGGUCCCUACUGAGAGGUAGGGCGCAGAGAAUAGGUCCAGGCAACUGUUUAACAAAAACACAUGGCUGUGCGAAAUAGAAAUAUGAAGUAUACAGCCUGACACCUGCCCGGUGCUGGAAGGUUAAGAGGAGAGCUCAUCGCAAGAGAAGGCUUGAAUUGAAGCCCCAGUAAACGGCGGCCGUAACUAUAACGGUCCUAAGGUAGCGAAAUUCCUUGUCGGGU